rnacentral:rRNA from 1 species
UCAGGACGAACGCUGGCGGCGUGCCUAACACAUGCAAGUCGAACGGAGUCAAAAAGCUUACUUUUGACUUAGUGGCGGACGGGUGAGUAACGCGUGAGUAACCUGCCUCUGAGAGGGGAAUAACGUUCUGAAAAGAACGCUAAUACCGCAUAAUGUAUCGAAGCCGCAUGACUUUGAUACCAAAGAUUUUAUCGCUCGGAGAUGGACUCGCGUCCGAUUAGUUAGUUGGUGAGGUAACGGCUCACCAAGACCGCGAUCGGUAGCCGGACUGAGAGGUUGAUCGGCCACAUUGGGACUGAGACACGGCCCAGACUCCUACGGGAGGCAGCAGUGGGGGAUAUUGCGCAAUGGGGGCAACCCUGAACCGCAGCAACGCCGCGUGAAGGAUGAAGGUUUUCGGAUUGUAAACUUCUUUUAUCAGGGACGAAGCUUGACGGUACCUGAUGAAUAAGCUCCGGCUAACUACGUGCCAGCCGCGGC